CCCCGGGAGGGGAGUGAAAGAGAACCUGAAACCAUAUGUUUACAAGCUGUGGGAGGUGUGUCUAUGGAUUCACCUAUCUUCAUGAGCCCUGCAGCUGUUACAGCAGCGAUUACAGCGUCAACUUACUCGGCGUAGACAACUACGCCUGCGUGAGUUUCCUUGUACUCGCAGCCGUACCAGCCACAGUGCAGCAUGAGAAUAGGUGAGUCCAUAGCCAUCAACCGCGUACUUUUUGUAGAACGGUCCGGCGAGUUGCGCCGGCUGGCAAGGUUAAGAGCUUAAGGCUCGGAGCCGAAGGGAAACCAAGUCUGAAUAGGGCGUUUUAAGUCAGCCGGAGCAGACCCGAAACCGGGUGAUCUAUCCAUGUCCAGGUUGAAGUUGCCGUAAAAGGCAAUGGAGGACCGAACACACAUCCGUUGAAAAGGGUGGUGAUGAGGUGUGGAUAGGGGAGAAAUUCCAAUCGAACCCGGAGAUAGCUGGUUCUCCUCGAAAUAGCUUUAGGGCUAGCCUCAUAAAAAGUCUUGCGGAGGUAGAGCACUGAAUUUCCUAGGGGGCGUCAAAGCUUACCAAAGAAUAUCAAACUCCGAAUGCCGUGUAGAUGAUGUAUGGGAGUCAGACUGUCCGAGAUAAGUUGGAUGGUCAAAAGGGAAACAGCCCAGACCUGCGGCUAAGGCCCCAAAAUGUGUGUUAAGUGGAAAAGGAUGUGGGAUUUCAAAGACAGCUAGGAUGUUGGCUCAGAAGCAGCCAUCCAUUCAAAGAGUGCGUAAUAGCUCACUAGUCGAGAGGUCCUGCGCCGAAAAUGUCCGGGGCUCAAACACACUGCCGAAGCCCAGGAAUUGAUGAAUGUCAAUUGGUAGAGGAGCAUUCUUAAGAGGAGGAAGCUGUACCGUAAGGAGCAGUGGACCCUUAAGAAGAGAGAAUGCCGGAAUGAGUAGCGAGAGGAAGGUGGGAAUCCUUCCGGCCGAAUAUCUAAGGUUUCCAGAGUAAAGCUGAUCUGCUCUGGGUAAGUCGGGGCCUAAGGCGAGGUCGAAAGACGUAGCCGAUGGACAACAGGUGGAGAUUCCUGUACUAUACCAUGACAGAACUGUGGGGACGCAGGCAGAGAGCGCAUCCCGGGAGUGGAAAACCCGGGGCAAGCGGAGAAGGAGUGCAUCAGGCAAAUCCGGUGCAUAAUCCAAAGACGUGACGCCAAGCGAACUAAAGUAGCGAAGUGCGUGAGCUGACUGCCGAGAAAAGCCGCUAUUGUUCAUGGUAUACCCGUACCGUAAACCGACACAGGUGGAUGAGGAGAGAAUCCUAAGGCCGACGGGAGAAGCAUUGUUAAGGAACUCGGCAAAAUGACCCCGUAACUUCGGGAGAAGGGGUGCCUGGGGAACCAGGCCGCAGAGAAUUGGCCCAAGCAACUGUUUAGCAAAAACACAGGUCUAUGCAAAACCGAAAGGUGAGGUAUAUGGGCUGACGCCUGCCCGGUGCUGGAAGGUUAAGGGGAGAGGUUAGCAUACGCGAAGCUUUGAACUUAAGCCCCAGUAAACGGCGGCCGUAACUAUAACGGUCCUAAGGUAGCGAAAUUCCUUGUCGGGUAAGUUCCGACCCGCACGAAAGGCGUAAUGAUUUGGGCACUGUCUCAACAAUGCACCCGGUGAAAUUGAAGUACCAGUGAAGAUGCUGGUUACCUGCGCCAGGACGGAAAGACCCCAUGGAGCUUUACUCCAGUUUGAUACUGGGAUUCGGUAUUGCAUGUACAGGAUAGGUGGGAGGCUAAGAACCCGUGACGCCAGUUGCGGGGGAGCCGCUGUUGGGAUACCACCCUUGCAGUGCUGGGUUUCUAACCAGCGGCCGUGAACCGGCCGGGGGACAAUGUCAGGCGGGGAGUUUGACUGGGGCGGUCGCCUCCGAAAGGGUAU
rnacentral:rRNA from 1 species